rnacentral:rRNA from 1 species
UGACGGUACCUGACUAAGAAGCCCCGGCUAACUACGUGCCAGCAGCCGCGGUAAUACGUAGGGGGCAAGCGUUAUCCGGAUUUACUGGGUGUAAAGGGAGCGUAGACGGUAUGGCAAGUCUGAAGUGAAAGCCCGGGGCUCAACCCCGGGACUGCUUUGGAAACUGUUAAACUAGAGUGUCGGAGAGGCAAGUGGAAUUCCUAGUGUAGCGGUGAAAUGCGUAGAUAUUAGGAGGAACACCAGUGGCGAAGGCGGCUUGCUGGACGAUGACUGACGUUGAGGCUCGAAAGCGUGGGGAGCAAACAGGAUUAGAUACCCUG